UAGGGAAUCUUCGGCAAUGGGGGGAACCCUGACCGAGCAACGCCGCGUGAGUGAAGAAGGUUUUCGGAUCGUAAAGCUCUGUUGUUAAGGAAGAACGAGUGUGAGAAUGGAAAGUUCAUACUGUGACGGUACUUAACCAGAAAGGGACGGCUAACUACGUGCCAGCAGCCGCGGUAAUACGUAGGUCCCGAGCGUUGUCCGGAUGUAUUGGGCGUAAAGCGAGCGCAGGCGGUUAGAUAAGUCUGAAGUUAAAGGCAGUGGCUCAACCAUUGUAGGCUUUGGAAACUGUUUAACUUGAGUGCAGAAGGGGAGAGUGGAAUUCCAGGUGUAGCGGUGAAAUGCGUAGAUAUAUGGAGGAACACCGGUGGCGAAAGCGGCUCUCUGGUCUGUAACUGACGCUGAGGCUCGAAAGCGUGGGGAGCGAACAGG
rnacentral:rRNA from 1 species